CCCCCCUCACGCGCCUCGUUGCGCGCUGGUGUUGGGGCUCCUCCGCCUGGCGGAGGGCCCCUAAAGCGAGUGGCGGGCCCGUCUGGCGGCUCCGAGCGCAGUACCGAACGCAAGUUCUCUCCUCGCCCGGACGCCCCUUCGGCGCCUUGCCAGUCUAAAUCGCGCAUGACGUGCAACUCUUUUACAA
rnacentral:misc_RNA from 2 species